CCAUUGAUCUGCUGAGUGGACUAAAGAUGGGGGAGCAAGGUGGUUGGCUGGAGGCUAAUAGUGGAGACUGGGUGGCCAACUUGGAUUCCCAGACCUAGACAGGUGCAGCCAAGGACUCUGGGGAUGACAUCACUGAGCAGGCCAGGACCAUAGGCGACAUAGUGGAGGUCAGUGGAUGGGACAGCGUCCUCAACUUUGAGCUGCGGUACAAUACUCUUAACCAGAAACAGACAGUCAAACACAAAACAACAUCCAAUCUUAGUCUCCAUGACAGCAAACUGUCUGAGAACAGGCAGAGGCGUAGAUUUGGUCUGCGGGGACAGGGAGGUGUCCGUAUGUGGUGGGAGAGAACAGACACAGACUCGGCUAGCGAUGCUCCAUCCUGCUCCUAUAGUUGUGAUUCAGAGAGACUGAUGGCACCUCAGGUUAACCCCCUAGCAGGUUCUGCCUUCUGCCUGCCUUCUAAAAGAUCCAUCAACUGGAACAUGGACCCUGCGACAACACAGACACUCCCUGGACUUCGUCCUUCUCACACUCUCCUAAUGUUAAAGCAGACCUCAGACAAUGCCAGUGCCUCAACACCAAAUGGCUACACAAGCCCAUUGACAAAUGACAGUAGUAGAGACAGAAUCAGUAAAGAUGGCAGCGCCUAAGAGAAGCGCUUCCAUGUUCAUUCUGUGAGAAGWCSUUCAGUUUCCCCAUAGAGGUGGAGAUCCACCAGAGGAUGCACACGGUGGAGAAAUCAUUCAGCUGUGCCAGGCCAGUUUCUCCCACUCGUUCAACCUAAAGAGGCACCAUAUGGUCCACACAGGGGAGARAACCUACAGCUGUCCCCAGUGUGAGGAGGUUCUCCCACCAGCACCAGCUGAAGAGGCACCUGAAGGUCCACACGGGAGAGAGGCCAUUCACCUGUAAGCAUUGCGGGAAGAGGUUCUCAGAGGAGCAACCUCAGGAUACACAAACAGAAAAUGCACACAGUAUAGUAACAUGUAAUAAAUGACUAGUUAGUGUGUUUGUAGUUCACUCUGUUGGUUUGGGAUAUAGUAGGGAACUAGAUGAGGUGAACUGAGGAAAGAAUGAGUAUGAUGAGGCAGAGUAGAUGAUAUGGUUAUGGUUGGUGUGAUUCUGUCUGUAAAAAUGCUUCACUGAUGAAGAGUGACAACUAUGUCUCUUUAGGUUGAUACUGGUGUUUUAUAGUGAGAUAAUGAUAGUGCCUUAAUUCACUUGACAAAAUAGAUAAGAUCCAUGUAAUGUUGAACCCAAAGUAUUCUAAAAUGAAUUUGAUCAAAGCGAGGGUACCAGCUUUACAGAAAAGGUAAAGUGUUACCAUAGUGAGAAGUUAUUCUACUUGUAUUGUACAAAACGAUACAUAACAAGUACUAUACUUCAGGUUAUGUGACUAUGUCAAUUUUGUUGAAAUAAAAACUGUGCUGACUGA